GGUCCCAUAGCUCAGUUGGUUUAGAGCGUCGUACUAAUAUCCUAUGGAUUGCAAUGCGAAGGCCGAGAGUUCGAGCCUCUCUGGGACCA